UACAGAGGUCCCAAGCGUUGUUCGGAUUCACUGGGCGUAAAGGGUGCGUAGGUGGUGAGGUAAGUCGGAUGUGAAAUCUCCGAGCUCAACUCGGAAAUGGCAUUGGAAACUACCUUGCUUGAGGGUUGGAGGGGGGACUGGAAUACUUGGUGUAGCAGUGAAAUGCGUAGAUAUCGAGGAGACACCAGUGGCGAAGGCGGCUUUCUGGACGGUAACUGACGCUGAGACGCGAAAGCGUGGGGAGCAAACAGG
rnacentral:rRNA from 1 species